GAGCACAGACAUGACCGACCCAUUCGCCGCGGGCCCACUCUCUCUUAAACAGGGUAGGUGCGCGGCGCGGGCGUGGGUUGCGUUGGGUUAGGGGAGCAGGGCGUGCGGCACGUGUGAGGCCAGGGGAGUAGGGCGUGCUUGGGAUCCUCUCUCUCUAUCCUUCUACUCUCCCUCUCUUUCCCCUCUCCUCUCCUCUCCCUCCAAACCGUCGCCUGCUCUCUCCCACUGGCCGGCCGCAGCCGGAUGUGGCCGCUCCGCAGCCGGACGCGGGGAGGAGCGCGUGCUUGGGAUCGACUCUCUGUUUUACUCCCCCUCUCUCUCUUCCUUCCUCUCCUCCCUCUUUCUCUCUCCUUUCUCCUUUCCCUCCACGCCGCCGACUGUCCUCUCUCCCAGUAGCCGGCCGCGGCCUCUCCUGCCCGGACUGGACCUGCGCUGGACCUCCAACCGCCGCCGAGCUAGGUGAGGACCUAGCCCUCGACGCUGCUCCGACCCCGAGCCCGCGCAACAUGCCCUCCGACGUGAGGCGGAGAAGGAGUACCACGCCUCCUGCCGCCGAGAACGCCAGCACGCCGACUGCCGCCGGAACCAAACGACGAAGCAAUCGAGAAGAAGAAGUGACGGAAUUAAGGAUCCUGUUGGUAAAACAACGAAGGACAUGUUUAUCUCACACAAUCUGAAAGAGAAACAAACAGAGUAGGGGAAGAAUUCACUGACCAAGGACGUGCCAAUAACCGAAGAGGUUACCUAGUACAUCCAUCUUUGAUUUUUCUUGACCUAUUAAAGAAAAUGGGAAGAAAAUUAAAGUUAUCCUGAGGGCUCAAGUCUUAACUGUUAAGUGUAGUAAUUAGUCAUGUCUCGUCUAGUUAACUAAAAGUAUUUUUGCGUAUAAUCUUAAUAGUAACCUAACCAAAAGUUCACGGAAAUAAUCUGUAUAUCACAUCUCCCUCAUUUAAUCAAAGUGUCUUACAAAGGAACCUAAAAUCAACGUGAAGUAAGACAACAAAGCCAGAAACAUGUAAGUCUACGAAAAAUUAAGUUUUCCUUUGUUGAGUGUCUCCAAUACAUGCCCUCCGAUGUGAGACGGAGAAGGGGCACCACGCCGCCUGCCGCCGAGAACGCCAGCACACGACUGCUGCCGGAGUCGCCCACCCGCUGGUCACCACCACGGUCCCCAAUCGACAGACCGCGAGAUGGGUACCUAAGGCCGUAAUCGAGUUUUGCGAGUCCUGUUUAAUCCAGAGCCGGUUACCACCUCUUCUGCCUCAUGUCCCUACUCGGCGAGCUCGUGCCAAACUACCCUACAAGCUCGCGUUCUACGUCUUCAAGCGGUCUUCCUUCUUCUCGACCCGCAGCUCCUCCUCUUCUUCCACCAUACGCUCCACGAACGUCCGGGUCGUCGUCCUCCGGCAGGAACUCCACGAGGAGACCUACCAGGGAAGGUCGCGACCCGGAUGCACAAGUUACGACGGGAGUGGUAGGGGAAGAAGGUAACCGAGUAGCCGGGCAGUCUCAAGUCUCUAGAUUAUGAGGCGUGACGGAGGGCAGGUAAAAGUCUAUAUAUAUAUAUAAAUAUAUUCCAAAUAGUAGUGGGGUACCUAGUACACAACAACUAACUGGUCCAAUAACUCCACCUCCAGUUGCCCCACUCCGUCUCUUCACCUCACGAGUAUUUCUUUGCUUCUAUACAUACUUAUACUACCUACGAAGGUAACGGUUGAUUACUUUACGUACAGAGUACGAGCGCGUCGACGACGGACCUGAGCGGUGACGGCGGCGGAGGUCAGCGAAGGCGGAUCCGUAGGACAGAGAUCGUUCUAACUUGACUGGUUAGGCACACUAACUCCUUAGGAACACCUCUUUUUCUUAAGUUCCUUGAGGCGCCGAGGCUUAUGUCUCCUAAAGUUCUUUUUAUUUACACGACCUCGUUCUUUCCCUCGUACCAUUCCUGACACGGAUGUUCUCAAAGAGACAAGCAUAACCAACGGUAUACGUCGAAUGCCCAGAGUUGAAUUACUUAUGUAGUUGGCACAUGUCUUCCUUUUUGAGUAAUGUACUUAGGACUCAUCCAUAAAAAUCAGAAAGCGUUACAUUAAAUAAAUAAAAAGAGAGUAUUAUACAAUCCAAGCUGUAACCUUUUAUAAACCGUACUUACCUCAACUAAAUUUAGAACUUUCUGAAGCUAACUCUGGAUACACAUACACACAACGGUCGGUUGACACCUUUGACUUUCAUCUCUGUGUUAAGUGUAUUACUCAUUGUUGAAGGCUAGGUUCAAAUUGUUGGCGUCGAGGUAAGAUCUAACCACAAAUUCAAGACUUCACAGCGAGAGGUCUAAAGACAGACAAAGGGAAAAUAAAUGGCGUUAGACGUGACAUUACCGAUAUAUAUCUUAGUGAUCUAAGUUCGGCACACUCCGUAGAUGAAACAACAUUAACCCGAAGGGAUCGUAGGUUAUAGUACCAGGACCGUUGUGAAAAGAGACCCUCGUUAUGUUUGGAACCCUCCGAGUAGACUUGGAACUCAGUAAAGAGACUUUAAAUACUUGAAACGAACGACUUUGGAGAAUUGUAAAGACCUCAGACAGUGGACUAACUAAGAAGUGAACCGUUUCGUCGUUCUCCUUAAAACCGACUACGAUCUUACUUUUCUUAAACAUGACAUGAACCUGAGCGGGACUCACGUAUACCAAUCUAAAAUACAAUUUCGACCACUCCGUAACCGCAAUCAACGAUAAUGGUCUCUGGUCGACGGUCCCUAUGAAAGAACUUGGAAACAAAAGGACAGCGACAUAACAUCGUAUUUUUAGAUUUUACCCAGAUAGAUAAGUAAUGUCGAAUACCAAAGGAAACAAAAAAGGUUAUUGAUUACGUAAACAAGUAAGAAUUGCAAAGAACGAAGAUUAACACGUCGUUAGGAUUAGAAAUAAUAAAAGAGGUACUAUGUCAACGAAUGGACAUACAAGAAUACAAGUCACCAUAAAUCACAUGGCAUAUACACAGUCCUUCUACGCUCAUGGUCCCACAAUGGGUCGAGUUCAAGCUCUCCUUGUCCGCCAGACAACGACUUCUUUCUAUGCAAACUAUACAGGCUCGCGGAGGGAAUCGUACGAGAUCCAAAGUUGCUACAUGGAUAUUGUUCUGUCAGAAUGAUAGUUUGUUUAUAACGGAUAUAAAUACUGACUAGUACAUAUAUUUUUAUACAAACUAUACACGAGCGUCGGUGUACAAAUAUAUUGUGAUCUCAAUCAAAAAGCCAACAUUUAUUGAUGAUCGAGGAAAAUCACGAUGUAUGUAGAUAAACUCGCCGUCCAUUAAUACUGGCCUCCAUCAUGACGGGAUUCAUCUAAUGUACAAUCCGCAACCUUGCCUCAAAUAUCUCUUC
rnacentral:rRNA from 1 species